UGGGGAAUUUUGGGCAAUGGGCGAAAGCCUGACCCAGCAACGCCGCGUGGAGGAUGAAGGUUUUCGGAUCGUAAACUCCUGUCUAGAGGGACGAAGCAAGUGACGGUACCUCUGGAGGAAGCCCCGGCUAACUCCGUG
rnacentral:rRNA from 1 species